GAUGAACGCUGCGGCGUGCCUAAUACAUGCAAGUCGAGCGAACAGACGAGGAGCUUGCUCCUCUGACGUUAGCGGCGGACGGGUGAGUAACACGUGGAUAACCUACCUAUAAGACUGGGAUAACUUCGGGAAACCGGAGCUAAUACCGGAUAAUAUAUUGAACCGCAUGGUUCAAUAGUGAAAGACGGUUUUGCUGUCACUUAUAGAUGGAUCCGCGCCGCAUUAGCUAGUUGGUAAGGUAACGGCUUACCAAGGCAACGAUGCGUAGCCGACCUGAGAGGUGAUCGGCCACACUGGAACUGAGACACGGUCCAGACUCCUACGGGAGGCAGCAGUAGGGAAUCUUCCGCAAUGGGCGAAAGCCUGACGGAGCAACGCCGCGUGAGUGAUGAAGGUCUUCGGAUCGUAAAACUCUGUUAUUAGGGAAGAACAAAUGUGUAAGUAACUAUGCACGUCUUGACGGUACCUAAUCAGAAAGCCACGGCUAACUACGUG
rnacentral:rRNA from 1 species